rnacentral:lncRNA from 1 species
UCACUGAACUUUAAAAUUGUUACUACUUACUUACUCACUAAACUUUAAUGGGUUACUCAAUACUCACCCAUUUUUAUAUAUAUUUACUCGCCCACCACUCUUUUAAGUCUCAUCUCUCCAAAUAGACAAAAAUAUACACGUGAAUUAUUGAAAUCUGAUGUGACAAAUAAUUUUGUUAAAUGUUGCCAACCUGGAAUGAUCACAUCCAAAUUCGUUCUCCACCCUUCAACAUUUCACAACAUCUUCUAAUUUCUCUCUUGAACCCUACUCUUCCAAAUCCAAAUUUCUCUUCUUCAAAAUUGUCCCUAAAAUCAACCUCAUUACAGUAAGGUUUGAACAUUCUUCUCUUCACUGGAUAAUGGAGAGCAUAGGUGACCCACAAGAUUCUUG